CUCUGUCUGGCCCCUUCCCCCUCUUGCCUCGCUGGUGUGGAUGGCCACUCUGAUCCUGACCGUGCUCUUCAAACCUGGCCUAUGCCUGGCAUCCUCUAUUGCCUUCUCGAUGCUCAUUGUCAUCUUCAGGACCCAGCUUUUCAGGCCAAAGUACUCCUCUUCUAGGGCAGGUCCCUGAGACUGACAUUUACAGACCAGUGGAGGACUAUAAUCUGUAAUGCGUCCAUGGAGACAAGAUAAAUACAGCCAAAGGGACUACGCCGAUAUCGGUGUGGAGGUGGUGGAUGUCAGACUGGUGUUAUUGAGAAACUGGAAAGAUGAGGAUUCGUCAGUGAGAAAGUCACCAAAGUGUGUCUCUUCUCCUCAAUCCACAAAUGCUGUGCUUUACUGUCAGACAGACAGGGCCCAGAUGGACAGUGAUGACGAGGUGAAACACACACGAGCAAGACACGUGCACGCACACCGAUGCACACACACUGAUGCCCCCAUUCUCAUCGACAGGGCUGCAGUGGAGCAGGUUGAGAGCUUCAAGUUCCUUGGUGUCCACAUCACCAACAAAGUAGAAUUAGUCCAAAAACACCAAGACAGUCGUGAAGAGGGCACAACAAAGCCUAUUCCCCCUCAGGAGACUGAAAAGAUUUGGCAUGGGUCCUCAAAAGGAUCUACAGCUGCACCAUCGAGAGCAUCACCAACUGGUUGCAUCACUGCCUGGUAUGGCAACUGCUCGUCCUUCGACCGCAAGGCAGGUAGUGGGUGGUGACAGAGGGUAGUGCGAACGGUCCAGUACAUCACUGGGGCCAAGCUUCCUGCCAUCCAGGGACCUCUAUACCAGUUGGUGUCAGAGGAAGGCCCUACAAAUUGUCAAAGACUCCAGCCACCCAAGUCAUCAACUGUUCUCUCUGCUACUGCACGGCAAGCGGUACCCGGAGCGCCAAGUUUAGGUCCGAGAGGCUUCUAAACAGCUACCCCCAAUCCUUAUGACUCCUGAACACCUAAUCAAGUGGCUACACAGACUAUUUGCAUUGCCCACCGCUCCCCCUCUUUUACACCGCUGCUACUCUCUGUUGUUAUCAUCUAUGCAUAGUCACUUUAAUAACUCUACCUACAUGUAAAUAUUACCUCAACUAACCGGUGCCCCCGCACAUUGACUCUGUACCGGUACCCCCCCUGUAUAUACUCUUGCUAUUGUUAUUUUACUGCUGCUCUUUAAUUACUUGUUACUUUUAUUUCUUAUUCUUAUCUGUAUUUUGUAAACUGCAUUGUUGGUUAGGGGCUCGUAAGCAAGCAUUUCACUGUAAGGUUCACCUGUUCUAUUCGGUGCAUGUGACUAAUCAAAUUUGAUUUGAUAUUUGAUUUGAAGUACAUGCAUGCACUACAAGCCCACACACUCACAAUUACUCACAUUCUUUUACAGUUUAUAACCUGUUUAGAUUGUGCACAUACACUGAGUGUACAAAACAUUAGAAACACCUGGUUAAAGGUUAAAUAAGGAUUUUUAAGCCUUGAGACAAUUGAGACAUGGAUUGUGUGUGUGCCCUUCAGAGAAUGAAAGGGCAAGACACAAUAUACGUGUCUUUGAAUGGGGUACAGUAGUAGUUGCCAGGCGCACCGGUUUGAGUGUGUCAAGAACUGCAACUCUGCAUAGCUUUUCACGCUCAAUAAUUACCAUCUGUAUCAAGAAUGGUCCACCACCCGAAGAACAUCUGGCCGGCUUGAAAUAACUGUGGGAAGCAUUGGAGUCAACAUGGGCCAGCAUCCCUGUGGAACCCUUUCGACUCCUUGUAGAGUCCAUUCCCUGACCAAUUGAGGCUUGGGGAAAAUGGGUUGUAUACUCAAUAUUAGGAAUGUUUUGUACACUCAGUGUAUAGACAUGGUUCUCUUACAAACAUUGUGUUUUGUUGGGUUUAGGUUUUGGUUGCUGGCAGCUCUGUUUUAGUGUUCAGUUGCAUGCAUGGCUCUUUUGCAGCUCCACAGGAUGAUCCUACAUGUUUAUGGUAGUUGUUUUACGAGUGAUCGGUCAGGUUAUACUGAUAAAUGCUGAAAACCCUUACCUGAAACUGUCCAGUGGCUCUAUUUGAUCAAAUCUAACACAAUGGUAAGGUAGCGAUAUACAGUGCCUUGCAAAAGUAUUCGGCCCCCUUGAACUUUGCGACCUUUUGCCACAUUUCAGGCUUCAAACAUAAUGAUAUAAAACUGUAUUUUUUUGUGAAGAAUCAACAACAAGUGGGACACAAUCAUUAAGUGGAACGACAUUUAUUGGAUAUUUCAAACCUUUUGUAAUGCUCCGGGUGUCGUGGGUGUGGAGUCAAAUGCAGGAGACAGAGAGUUCAAUGCUGUGCGUCUUUAAUAGCACCAACGCACCACAGGGUGCUCACAAUAGUUACGUUCCCAAACACAGGGAAUCAAAAUGUGCAACGAAAAAUACACGACCAAGUACUAACACGUACCUG